GAUGAACGCUGGCGGCGUGCCUAAUACAUGCAAGUCGAGCGAACGGACGAGAAGCUUGCUUCUCUGAUGUUAGCGGCGGACGGGUGAGUAACACGUGGAUAACAUACCUAUAAGACUGGGAUAACUUCGGGCAACCGGAGCUAAUACCGGAUAAUAUUUUGAACCGCAUGGUUCAAAAGUGAAAGGCGGUCUUGCUGUCACUUCUAGAUGGUUCCGCGCUGCCUUAGCUAGUUGGUAAGGUAACGGCUUACCAAGGCAACGAUGCAUAGCCGACCUGAGAGGGUGAUCGGCCACACUGGAACUGAGACACGGCCCAGACUCCUACGGGAGGCAGCAGUAGGGAAUCUUCCGCAAUGGGCGAAAGCCUGACGGAGCAACGCCGCGUGAGUGAUGAAGGUCUUCGGAUCGUAAAACUCUGUUAUUAGGGAAGAACAUAUGUGUAAGUAACUGUGCACAUCUUGACGGUACCUAAUCAGAAAGCCACGGCGAACUACGC
rnacentral:rRNA from 1 species